rnacentral:rRNA from 1 species
UACGUAGGGUGCGAGCGUUAAUCGGAAUUACUGGGCGUAAAGCGUGCGCAGGCGGUUUGUUAAGUCUGCUGUGAAAUCCCCGAGCUCAACUUGGGAAUUGCAGUGGAUACUGGCAGGCUGGAGUAUGGUAGAGGAAGGUGGAAUUCCCGGUGUAGCAGUGAAAUGCGUAGAGAUGUGGAGGAACACCGAUGGCGAAGGCAGCCCCCUGGGCCAAUACUGACGCUCAUGCACGAAAGCGUGGGGAGCAAACAGG